rnacentral:rRNA from 1 species
GGAGGCGCGGCGCACAGCUCAGUAACACGUGGCUAACCUACCCUUGGGACGGAAACAACCCCGGGAAACUGAGGCUAAUUUCCGAUAGGUGAAGACUCCUGGAAUGGGUCUUCGCCCAAAGGGCGUUUAGACCAUGCUUCUAAGCGCCGCCCAAGGAUGGGGCCGCGGCCGAUCAGGUUGUUGGUGAGGUAACGGCUCACCAAGCCUUUAACCGGUACGGGCCGUGAGAGCGGGAGCCCGGAGAUGGGCACUGAGACAAGGGCCCAGGCCCUACGGGGCGCAGCAGUCGCGAAAACUCCGCAAUACGCGAAAGCGUGACGGGGUCAUCCCGAGUGCCGUCCGCUGAGGAUGGCUUUUCCCCAGUGUAGAUAGCUGGGGGAAUAAGGAGAGGGCAAGUCUGGUGUCAGCCGCCGCGGUAAUACCAGCUCUCCGAGUGGUGGGGACGUUUAUUGGGCUUAAAGCAUCCGUAGCCGGCUGGGCAAGUCCCCUGUUAAAUCUAACGAUUCAAUCGUUGGAUCGCGGGGGAUACUGCUCGGCUAGGGGGCGGGAGAGGCCGACGGUAUUCCCGGGGUAGGG